rnacentral:rRNA from 1 species
UACGGAGGGUGCAAGCGUUAUCCGGAUUCACUGGGUUUAAAGGGUGCGUAGGCGGGCAGGUAAGUCCGUGGUGAAAUCUCUGAGCUUAACUCAGAAACUGCCAUGGAUACUAUUUGUCUUGAAUGUUGUGGAGGUAAGCGGAAUAUGUCAUGUAGCGGUGAAAUGCUUAGAUAUGACAUAGAACACCAAUUGCGAAGGCAGCUUACUACACAAAUAUUGACACUGAGGCACGAAAGCGUGGGGAUCAAACAGG